rnacentral:rRNA from 1 species
GACGAACGCUGGCGGCGUGCUUAACACAUGCAAGUCGAACGGUGAAGCGCCUUCCUUUUUGGGGGGUGUGGAUGAGUGGCGAACGGGUGAGUAACACGUGAGUAACCUGCCCCCUUCUUCUGCAUAACCGCAUUAAAGUGUGUCUAAUACGGGAGAUUCUGGGUCUUUCUCAGGAUGGGUCUGGUAAAGAGAUUGUUUCGGGAGGGGAGGGGCUCGCGGCCUAUCAGCUUGUUGGUGGGGUGAUGGCCUACCAAGGCGGGGAGGGGUCGCCGGCCUGGGCGGGUGGCCGGUCAGACUGGGAGUGAGACACGGCCGAGACUCCUACGCGAGGCAGAAGUCGGGAGUAGUGAACAGUGGGCGAAAGCCUGAUGCAGCGACGACGCGUGAGGGAUGGCGGCCUUCGGGUUGUGAACCUCUUUCGCCAGUGAAGCAGGCCUGCCUCGUUUGUGGGUGGGUUGACGGUAGCUGGAUAAGAAGCGCCGGCUAACUACGUG